GCUGUCUCCCGCCCCGGCCUUGUAGAAUCGCCUCUUAGUCAAACCAGAGCUCUGCACGCCGUUGAACAUGCCAGGAGGGGGAGGAGCUCUGGCGGUGGACGCCGCCGGCGCGGCCUCCGGCUACAGCAGCGAGAUCACGUUCACGGUGGUGAUGAGCUGCCUCAUGGCGGCCUCCGGCGGGCUCAUUUCGGUUACGACAUCAGUAUUACAGGUGGGUUGACGCAGAUGCGGUCGUUCCUGGAGGCCUUCUUCCCUGAGAUCAUCGAGAAGAUGGACAACACGCAGCAGGACGCCUACUGCAUCUUCGACAGCCAGGUGCUCACCACCUUCGUCUCCUCGCUCUACCUCGCCGGCGUCUUCGCCUGCCUGGUCGCCGGCCACGUCACGAGGAAGGUGGGCAGGAGGAACUCCAUGCUCAUCGGCGCCUCGUUCUUCUUGGUCGGCGCCAUACUCAACUGCGCCGCCGUCAACAUCUACAUGCUCGUCAUCGGCCGCAUCUUCCUCGGCUUCGCCGUUGGCUUCACCAACCAGUCUGCACCCGUGUACUUGGCGGAGAUCGCGCCGGCGCGG
rnacentral:rRNA from 1 species